AACGCUAGCUACAGGCUUAACACAUGCAAGUCGAGGGGAAACGACAUCGAAAGCUUGCUUUUGAUGGGCGUCGACCGGCGCACGGGUGAGUAACGCGUAUCCAACCUGCCCACCACUUGGGGAUAACCUUGCGAAAGUAAGACUAAUACCCAAUGAUAUCUCUAGAAGACAUCUGAAAGGGAUUAAAGAUUUAUCGGUGAUGGAUGGGGAUGCGUCUGAUUAGCUUGUUGGCGGGGUAACGGCCCACCAAGGCGACGAUCAGUAGGGGUUCUGAGAGGAAGGUCCCCCACAUUGGAACUGAGACACGGUCCAAACUCCUACGGGAGGCAGCAGUGAGGAAUAUUGGUCAAUGGGCGAGAGCCUGAACCAGCCAAGUAGCGUGCAGGAUGACGGCCCUAUGGGUUGUAAACUGCUUUUAUAAGGGAAUAAAGUGAGCCUCGUGAGGCUUUUUGCAUGUACCUUAUGAAUAAGGACCGGCUAAUUCCGUGCCAGCAGCCGCGGUAAUACGGAAGGUCCGGGCGUUAUCCGGAUUUAUUGGGUUUAAAGGGAGCGUAGGCCGGAGAUUAAGCGUGUUGUGAAAUGUAGGUGCUCAACAUCUGCACUGCAGCGCGAACUGGUUUCCUUGAGUACGCACAAAGUGGGCGGAAUUCGUGGUGUAGCGGUGAAAUGCUUAGAUAUCACGAAGAACUCCGAUUG
rnacentral:rRNA from 1 species